AACGAACGCUGGCGGCAUGCCUAACACAUGCAAGUCGAACGAGACCUUCGGGUCUAGUGGCGCACGGGUGCGUAACGCGUGGGAACCUGCCCUUAGGUUCGGAAUAACUCCCCGAAAGGGGUGCUAAUACCGGAUAAUGUCUUCGGACCAAAGAUUUAUCGCCUUUGGAUGGGCCCGCGUUGGAUUAGCUAGUUGGUAGGGUAAAAGCCUACCAAGGCGACGAUCCAUAGCUGGUCUGAGAGGAUGAUCAGCCACACUGGGACUGAGACACGGCCCAGACUCCUACGGGGGGCAGCAGGGGGGAAUAUUGGAAAAGGGGCGAAAGCCUGACCCAGCAAUGCCGGGGGAGUGAUGAAGGCCUUAGGGUUGUAAAGCUCUUUUACCCGGGAUGAUAAUGACAGUACCGGGAGAAUAAGCUCCGGCUAACUCCGU
rnacentral:rRNA from 1 species